CCCACAUACAAAUUACUGAAAUGCGAAUUACUGCAAAAAAUUGGUUUUACUUAUUCUUUGUUUGCAUCUGACAUAAUGGCGGCCAUGUUUGAGGAACGCUCACAAAAGAAUAUCAUUGGCAGCUAUUGGAUUUGGAGCGUGUUUUCUUCUGGCAUGGCUGCCAUAUCUCUGUGCUCUAAAUCCCAAUGGACUGAUUGCAAACCACCAAUAUAAACAAGCAGUUACUUGUCAUUUAUUUAUCGUGCUAGAACAAAGUACGCUAGGAAACUACAUUUUAAAUUUUCUUCACAAUACGAUUCCAAGAAAAUGAUGUGAAACUUCACAGCAUAACCACUUUAAUUAAUGUUACUGUUUUGUCCAAGAUUGAACUUGAGAACUAGCUAAUGUACAAAAACAGUCUGCAUCUUUUAUGUAGAAAUAAUUUCUUCCAAUUGUACAGUUUUUUCCAAUUCAUCAUGUUGUUGCUUUCGUACCAACGGUUCAUCAAGCAAUUUGUCAUUCGGCUCUGAGAACAGAUCCUUUUCUCCAUGGAAAAGCUUUUGCCAGAAAAAGGAAAGAAGGCGUAAGUGGAACGCCAAUCUGAAUCCAAUUACUAUUACCAGCAUUCCCCGGAAGUGCCCAGACUUAUCUGGAAAAUUGUGUUGGAGCAGAGGGGCUACUUCAAGUGCUACAUCGAGCAUGAUGGAGGCAACUUUACAGCUUAUCUCAACAAAAUACAUGAAGAGAGCUAACCAGUAAAUGACAAAAUUGGAAUUUUUGGCCAGACAAUCUUUCCACCAUAACAAAGUGAAACGUGGUAGGCUUGUUCCCGUCCAAUGUACGCGAGGCAGGUAAUUUAAACAGCAGAUGAGCAGUACAGUGACAGGAGGCCACAGGAACACAAGGAUUGAAAUGGACACGCUCGUCUUUUCCGAUCUGGUAGUGUAAAUACGAAAUACGUAGUACACCAAUGAAAUUAGAAGUAGAAAUAUUAAUGAACCAAAGUAGCCUUUUUUGAGGAUCUUCUUUGCUUUCUCAGUUUGGUAGUUUAACUUCGUGUGAUUCAGGUGUACGAUGCGAAGGAGAAGGGAUGACGAUAUGAUUGACAUCAAGAGCCAAGCAAAGACCCAGUGUUUGGGAUUCGAGGUAAAGAAAUCUUGAGUGCAGUUGACCACUGAAGCUUGCUCAAAAACGAUGCAUUUCGUGUCGAAUAUGGAGAAGAAGAUGAUGGAAAUGAGCCAGGGAAUGGAGAGGGAAAUAAAAAUCAGCUGCAA